rnacentral:rRNA from 1 species
AUUGAACGCUGGCGGCAGGCCUAACACAUGCAAGUCGAGCGGAUGAAGGGAGCUUGCUCCUGGAUUCAGCGGCGGACGGGUGAGUAAUGCCUAGGAAUCUGCCUGGUAGUGGGGGAUAACGUCCGGAAACGGGCGCUAAUACCGCAUACGUCCUGAGGGAGAAAGUGGGGGAUCUUCGGACCUCACGCUAUCAGAUGAGCCUAGGUCGGAUUAGCUAGUUGGUGGGGUAAAGGCCUACCAAGGCGACGAUCCGUAACUGGUCUGAGAGGAUGAUCAGUCACACUGGAACUGAGACACGGUCCAGACUCCUACGGGAGGCAGCAGUGGGGAAUAUUGGACAAUGGGCGAAAGCCUGAUCCAGCCAUGCCGCGUGUGUGAAGAAGGUCUUCGGAUUGUAAAGCACUUUAAGUUGGGAGGAAGGGCAGUAAGUUAAUACCUCGCCGUUUUGACGUUACCAACAGAAUAAGCACCGGCUAACUUCGUG